CCUACGGGAGGCAGCAGUGAGGAAUAUUGGUCAAUGGACGAGAGUCUGAACCAGCCAAGUAGCGUGAAGGAUGACUGCCCUAUGGGUUGUAAACUUCUUUUAUAUGGGAAUAAAAUGUUCCACGUGUGGGAUUUUGUAUGUCCCAUAUGAAUAAGGCACGGCUAACUCCGGGCCAGCAGCCGCGGUAAUACGGAGGGUCGGGGCGUUAUCCGGGUUUAUUGGGUUUAAAGGGGGCGUAGGUGGAUUGGUAAGGUCGUCGUGAAAGUUUGCGGCUCAACCGUAAAAUUGCAGUUGAAACUGGCAGUCUUGAGUGCAGGAGAGGUAGGCGGAAUUCGUGGUGUAGCGGUGAAAUGCUUAGAUAUCACGAAGAACUCCGAUUGCGAAGGCAGCUCACUGGACUGCAACUGACACUGAGGCUCGAAAGUGUGGGUAUCAAACAGGAUUAGAUACCCCGGUAGUC
rnacentral:rRNA from 1 species